AAGGAAGUGACGUAGGCCAAUCCCGAGCGCGGUGGGCGGUUGGACAGUAGCUCCGCAAAGCUUACGAGCCAGGCUCUGGCCAAUGAAUGGACGAUGAUAGUUUGCGGCUCCUUUAUAACAGCUGCUGUGUGAGACACUCAGUAGCCGAGCCUAUAGUGACAGUUGGGGUUCUUGUCCAUCCUUCCUUCAGGAAUGGACUGGGAAGACAGCAAAGGAAAACAUGAGCAACUUUAUCUGCCUUGUGGACAUAAAGAGUUCCAAGGGUCUCGGUGCCAAGAGGCAUUUCUGAAUGGCUCCAAACAUAUUUCUGCUAUUUUGUACUUCAUAAAGGAAAGAAAAAGAUCCGUUCCAAACUGGUAAUCAGAUUUGAAGAUACUGACUGGAAACAGAAAUCAUGAAGACCAACAAAACAGAUAGAUGGUCUUCAAAAACGUCAAAGAGGGCUGG